ACACUCCUGCGGGAGGCAGCAGUGGGGAAUAUUGCACAAUGGGCGCAAGCCUGAUGCAGCCAUGCCGCGUGUAUGAAGAAGGCCUUCGGGUUGUAAAGUACUUUCAGCGGGGAGGAAGGCAAUACGGUUAAUAACCGUGUUGAUUGACGUUACCCGCAGAAGAAGCACCGGCUAACUCCGUGCCAGCAGCCGCGGUAAUACGGAGGGUGCAAGCGUUAAUCGGAAUUACUGGGCGUAAAGCGCACGCAGGCGGUCUGUCAAGUCGGAUGUGAAAUCCCCGGGCUCAACCUGGGAACUGCAUUCGAAACUGGCAGGCUUGAGUCUUGUAGAGGGGGGUAGAAUUCCAGGUGUAGCGGUGAAAUGCGUAGAGAUCUGGAGGAAUACCGGUGGCGAAGGCGGCCCCCUGGACAAAGACUGACGCUCAGGUGCGAAAGCGUGGGGAGCAAACAGGAUUAGAUACCCCUGUAGUCCCCAUGAU
rnacentral:rRNA from 1 species